UCCGGCUUAUCACCGGCAGUUUCUUCAGAGUGCUCAGCUUAACCUGUUAGCAACAGAAGACGAGGGUUGCGCUCGUUGCGGGACUUAACCCAACAUCUCACGACACGAGCUGACGACAGCCAUGCAGCACCUGUGUUCCCCCCACCCGAAGUGAAGGACUCCUUUUCGGGAGUCCAAAAGGGACAUGUCGAAUCCUGGUAAGGUUCUUCGCGUUGCCUCGAAUUAAACCACAUGUUCCACCGCUUGUGCGGGUCCCCGUCAAUUUCUUUGAGUUUUAAUCUUGCGACCGUACUCCCCAGGCGGGGUGCUUAACGCGUUAGCUGCGCCACUGAAGGGUAUCCCCCCAACGGCUAGCACCCAUCGUUUACAGCGUGGACUAC
rnacentral:misc_RNA from 1 species